rnacentral:rRNA from 1 species
CCUACGGGUGGCAGCAGUGGGGAAUAUUGCACAAUGGGGGAAACCCUGAUGCAGCGACGCCGCGUGAGUGAAGAAGUAUUUCGGUAUGUAAAGUUCUAUCAGCAGGGAAGAAAAUGACGGUACCUGAUUAAGAAGCCCCGGCUAACUACGUGCCAGCAGCCGCGGUAAUACGUUGGGGGCAAGCGUUAUCCGGAUUUACUGGGUGAAAAGGGAGCGUAGACGGCAGCACAAGUCUGGAGUGAAAUGCCCGGGCUUAACCCCGGAACUGCUUUGGAAACUGUGCAGCUAGAGUGAAGGAGAGGUAAGUGGAAUUCCAAGUGUAGCGGUGAAAUGCGUAGAUAUUAGGAGGAACACCAGUGGCGAAGGCGGCUUACUGGACUGUAACUGACGUUGAGGCUCGAAAGCGUGGGGAGCAAACAGGAUUAGAUACCCGUGUAGUC